GUAGUUGAUCCUGGCUCAGAACGAACGCUGGCGGCAUGCCUAACACAUGCAAGUCGAACGAAGCCUUCGGGCUUAGUGGCGCACGGGUGCGUAACACGUGGGAAUCUGCCCUUAGGUACGGAAUAACAGUUAGAAAUGACUGCUAAUACCGUAUGAUGCCGCAAGGCCAAAGAUUUAUCGCCUAGGGAUGAGCCCGCGUCGGAUUAGCUAGUUGGUGGGGUAAAGGCCUACCAAGGCGACGAUCCGUAGCUGGUCUGAGAGGAUGAUCAGCCACACUGGGACUGAGACACGGCCCAGACUCCUACGGGAGGCAGCAGUGGGGAAUAUUGGACAAUGGGCGAAAGCCUGAUCCAGCAAUGCCGCGUGAGUGAAGAAGGCCUUAGGGUUGUAAAGCUCUUUUACCCGGGAUGAUAAUGACAGUACCGGGAGAAUAAGCCCCGGCUAACUCCGUG
rnacentral:rRNA from 1 species